rnacentral:rRNA from 1 species
CCAAUCGGGGAGCCUACACAUGCAGCCGAGCGGUAGAAGAUCUUCGGAUCUUUGAGAGCGGCGCACGGGUGCGGAACACGUGUGCAACCUACCUUUAUCUGGGGGAUAGCCUUUCGAAAGGAAGAUUAAUACCCCAUAAUAUAUUUGAUGGCAUCAUUAGAUAUUGAAAACUCCGGUGGAUAGAGAUGGGCACGCGCAAGAUUAGAUAGUUGGUGAGGUAACGGCUCACCAAGUCAGUGAUCUUUAGGGGGCCUGAGAGGGUGAUCCCCCACACUGGUACUGAGACACGGACCAGACUCCUACGGGAGGCAGCAGUGAGGAAUAUUGGACAAUGGGUGAGAGCCUGAUCCAGCCAUCCCGCGUGAAGGACGACGGCCCUAUGGGUUGUAAACUUCUUUUAUACUGGGAUAAACCUACUUACGUGUAAGUAGCUGAAGGUACAGUAUGAAUAAGCACCGGCUAACUCCGUGCCAGCAGCCGCGGUAAUACGGAGGGUGCAAGCGUUAUCCGGAUUUAUUGGGUUUAAAGGGUCCGUAGGCGGACUCGUAAGUCAGUGGUGAAAUCUCAUAGCUUAACUAUGAAACUGCCAUUGAUACUGCGGGUCUUGAGUAAAGUAGAAGUGGCUGGAAUAAGUAGUGUAGCGGUGAAAUGCAUAGAUAUUACUUAGAACACCAAUUGCGAAGGCAGGUCACUAUGUUUUAACUGACGCUGAUGGACGAAAGCGUGGGGAGCGAACAGGAUUAGAUACCCUGGUAGUCCACGCCGUAAACGAUGCUAACUCGUUUUUGGGACUUCGGUUUCAGAGACUAAGCGAAAGUGAUAAGUUAGCCACCUGGGGGAGUACGUUCGCAAGAAUGAAACUCAAAGGAAUUGACGGGGGGCCCGCACAAGCGGUGGAUUAUGUGGUUUAAUUCGAUGAUACCCGAGGAACCUUACCAAGGCUUAAAUGGGGAUUUGACAGGGUUUAGAAAUAGACUUUUUCUUCCGGACAAUUUUUCAAGGGUGCUUGCAUGGGUUGUCCGCCAGCUCCGUGCCGUGGAGGUGGUUAAGGUUAAGUCCUUGCAACGAAGCGCAACCCCUUGUCACUAAGUUGCCAUCAUUAAAUUUGGGGGACUCUUAGUGGAGACUGGCCUACCCCAAGUAAAAAAAGGAAAGGGUGGGGGAUUAACGUCCAAAUCAUUCACCGGGCCCUUUAACGCCUUUGGG